rnacentral:rRNA from 1 species
UACGUAGGUGGCGAGCGUUGUCCGGAUUUACUGGGCGUAAAGGGAGCGUAGGCGGCCUUUUAAGUGAGAUGUGAAAUACUCGGGCUCAACUUGAGUGCUGCAUUUCAAACUGGAAGUCUAGAGUGCAGGAGAGGAGAAUGGAAUUCCUAGUGUAGCGGUGAAAUGCGUAGAGAUUAGGAAGAACACCAGUGGCGAAGGCGAUUCUCUGGACUGUAACUGACGCUGAGGCUCGAAAGCGUGGGGAGCAAAUAGG